ACAACUACCAGCCUAUAUACCUGCUAUUCUUCUUCCAUUUCAUAGAUAUUUCUCUGCAUCAGUAUAAUUCUUUGGCUGGUUUUCUACCAAUAUCAGAUUCAUAAAUACACGAUUCGAAAGUAUAAACUGCAGAACAGAAAUUCGAAUCAUAAAUCUCAAGGAAGGACAGUUGAAACAUCCUUCUGCAAAGGUCCAAAGAAAGGAAGUUUUUCCCUCCUUCUGCCCUUCAUGUAUCCUCAUUCCAGUUGAUAUGAUAAAUGGAGUAUACGUACGAAUGCUUUAAAUUGUUAGAACCUAUUAAACCUAUUCCGAUCCCCACUGGUGGUGAGUUUCCAAUUGGACAAGAGCAACUUGCUUCAAUUUCAAGGGAGCAUGACACUGCUGCUCUGCAGCAAUAUGGAGGGGUUGUAGGGCUAUCGGAUUUGUUGAAAACUAAUUUAGAGAAGGGGGUUCAUGGUGAUGAUGCUGACUUACUAAAGCGAAAGAAUGCAUUUGGUUCCAACAAUUAUCCUCGGAAGAAAGGAAGGGGUUUUUUGAUGUUUAUGUGGGAUGCAUGCAAGGAUCUGACAUUGGUUAUUUUAAUGAUAGCUGCUGCGGCUUCAUUGGCAUUGGGGAAAAAAUCUGAGGGUAUUAAUGAAGGAUGGUAUGAUGGGGGAAGCAUUGCUUUUGCAGUUAUUCUUGUCAUUGUUGUUACAGCUAUAAGUGAUUAUAAGCAGUCUCUUCAGUUUCGAGACCUAAAUGAAGAAAAGAGAAAUAUACACCUGGAGGUAAUUAGAGGUGGUAGAAGGGUUGAGAUCUCUAUAUAUAAUAUCGUUGUUGGGGAUGUUAUACCCCUUAAUAUUGGUAACCAGGUCCCUGCUGAUGGAAUUCUGAUCACUGGUCACAGUCUUGCAAUUGAUGAAUCAAGUAUGACAGGGGAGAGCAAAAUUGUCCAUAAAGAUUCUAAGGAUCCUUUUCUGAUGUCUGGAUGUAAAGUUGCAGAUGGAAGUGGCACUAUGCUGGUCACGGGUGUUGGUAUUAAUACUGAAUGGGGGCUUUUAAUGGCUAGCAUAUCAGAAGAUACUGGUGAAGAAACACCAUUGCAGGUUCGCUUAAAUGGUGUAGCUACUUUCAUCGGCAUUGUUGGACUCUCUGUUGCUGUUGUUGUCUUGAUUGUGCUACUGGCCAGAUAUUUCUCUAGGCAUACUAAAAACUCAGAUGGGUCAGCUCAAUUUACAGCAGGCAAGACUAAAGUCGGUGAUGCUAUUGAUGGUGCAAUUAAGAUAGUAACUGUUGCGGUCACCAUUGUAGUGGUUGCUGUACCCGAGGGGCUCCCAUUAGCAGUUUCUUUGACGCUUGCCUACUCGAUGAGAAAAAUGAUGGCAGAUAAAGCUUUGGUUAGGAGGCUUUCUGCGUGUGAGACCAUGGGUUCUGCCACAACCAUAUGCAGUGAUAAGACAGGCACAUUGACUAUGAAUCAGAUGACUGUGGUUGAGGCUUAUGCUGGGGGUAUGAAAAUUCAUCCUCCUCAUAAGUUGGAGUCCUAUCCUCUGCUUCGCUCUCUGCUCAUUGAAGGUGUCGCUCAGAACACUACUGGCAGUGUUUAUGCACCUGAGGAUGCUAAUGAUGUCAAGGAGGUUUCUGGAUCGCCAACAGAAAAGGCAAUUUUACAUUGGGGGUUAAAGCUUGGGAUGGAUUUUACGGCUGCACGAUCUGAAUCGUCAAUUAUUCAUGUUUUCCCAUUCAAUUCAGAGAAAAAACGAGGUGGAGUUGCUUUGCAAACGUCUGACUCUGAUAUCCAUAUACACUGGAAAGGUGCUGCUGAGAUAGUCCUAGCCUGCUGUACUGGGUAUAUUGAUGGAAAUGACCAACUGGUGGAAAUGGAUGAGGAGAAGAUGACAUUUUUCCGAAAAGCUAUUGAAGAUAUGGCUGCUGAUAGUUUACGUUGUGUUGCCAUUGCAUAUAGAUCAUAUGAAAAGGAGAAGGUUCCAACUAAUGAAGAUCUACUUGCUCACUGGUCUUUACCAGAAGAUGAUCUUAUUUUACUAGCUAUUGUUGGUCUUAAGGUGAGAAUGGUCACUGGUGACAAUGUGAAAACUGCAAAAGCAAUUGCUGUGGAAUGUGGAAUACCAUUUGCUGAUGCUAUGGAGCCAAACAUCAUUGAAGGAAAAACAUUUCGUGGAUUGUCAGAUGCACAAAGAGAUGAAAUUGCUGAGAGGAUUAGGAUACCGGUCAUGGGACGGUCAUCUCCCAAUGACAAACUAUUGCUAGUACAAUCAUUGAGGAGGAAGGGUCAUGUUGUGGUUGUAACCGGGGAUGGGACAAAUGAUGCUCCUGCUCUUCAUGAGGCGGAUAUAGGUCUUGCAAUGGGUAUUCAAGGUACAGAAGUUGCAAAAGAGAGCUCUGAUAUCAUUAUUUUGGAUGACAAUUUUUCUUCAGUUGUGAAGGUUGUCAGAUGGGGCAGGUCCGUGUAUGCAAAUAUUCAGAAAUUUAUCCAGUUUCAGCUUACAGUAAAUGUUGCCGCUCUUGUAAUAAAUGUUGUUGCUGCAGUUUCUUCUGGUGAUGUCCCAUUAAAUGCAGUGCAGCUUCUCUGGGUAAAUCUUAUCAUGGAUACUCUGGGAGCACUAGCCCUGGCAACCGAACCACCGACUGAUCACCUCAUGGAUCGACCUCCAGUGGAUCGAAGGUACUCUCCCCACCCUUCGAGAACAGUAUCCGCUCAAUACCGAAGACUUAGAAAAUCAAGAGAAAGUAAUAACAGGACGAGUGUUUCUAAGCAGGAACAUAUGCUUUUCAAAGAACCUCUCGUAACAAACAUUAUGUGGAGGAAUUUGCUGAUACAGAAUUUUUCAGGCAAUGUUCCAAGUGUCUGUCUUGCUUGUACUCAAUUUCCGAGGUAGAAGCAUACUGGGUCUGAGCCAUGACGAGAAUGGCCAUGCAAUCAAAGUGAAAAACACUUUAAUAUUCAAUGGAUUUGUUCUCGGUCAAACACUUCUCACAAAGAACGCAAAAUGAAGAAAGACGAGGCAAGCCUAUGAAAGUCACUCAAGGAUUUGCAAUAAUCAUCUUUGUGAAACUUCUAUAUAAAGAAGUUUGAAGAUUCAGAAAAUAAGAGAUAUACACAUAAGAAGAGACUUACAUAAGCACAAUUGUAUAUUUCUUUCUUUCUAUAAAAAGCUUUGUACAUAAUUGGUUGUAUUACGUCUUGAUAGUAAGACAAAAACCACUUUGUUAUCUUAACUUUAUGUUAUUGCUUUGAGCUUAGAGAGACUUAUUUGUAAAAGAAUAUUUGGUUGUUUAAAGUCUGGUGAGCCUUUAUGUUUAAA